GCGCCCAUAGUUUAAUGGAUAAAACGAGGAUCUCCUAAGUCUUAGCUACUGGUUCGACUCCAGUUGGGCGCGCCA
rnacentral:tRNA from 1 species